rnacentral:rRNA from 1 species
GAUGAACGCUGGCGGCGUGCCUAAUACAUGCAAGUCGAGCGAACGGACGAGAAGCUUGCUUCUCUGAUGUUAGCGGCGGACAGGUGAGUAACACGUGGAUAACCUACCUAUAAGACUGGGAUAACUUCGGGAAACCGGAGCUAAUACCGGAUAAUAUUUUGAACCGCAUGGUUCAAAAGUGAAAGACGGUCUUGCUGUCACUUAUAGAUGGAUCCGCGCUGCAUUAGCUAGUUGGUAAGGUAACGGCUUACCAAGGCAACGAUGCAUAGCCGACCUGUGAGGGUGAUCGGCCACCCGGGAACUGGGACACGGUCCAGGCUCCUACGGGACGCAGCAGUAGGGAAUGUUCGGCAAUGGGCGGAAGCCUGACGGAGCAACGCGACGUGAGUGAUGGAGGUCUUCGGAUCGUAAAACUCUGUUAUUAGGGAAGAACAUAUGUGUAAGUAACUGUGCACAUCUUGACGGUACCUAAUCAGAAAGCCACGGCUAACUACGUG